CUUCUUUGGUAUGUUAAAUUACAUGGGAAGCAUUGUCAAAUAGGUGGUGAUGAAACUUCUUAGAUUGUACCCUAUGGGUAAAUGUUACCAACAUACAUAUUCUAGAAAUUAUAUGGAACUCCUAAAAUUCUGGUAGGUCCUGGUAAAAAUUAUAUCAGUCAUAAUUUUAGUAAUUAUCUUAAAUUGUUGUGUGUCACAGCAGUAACCAAGUUUUCCAAUUGCAUUAUAAUCAGGUCUUUAACCUUGACUUUUUAAGUCUUUUGACGUUUAUAGGCAGUUAUCAUUGUACUCUUUUUGCAAAAUGCUUCAUCUUCAAGAAGAUCCACAGAGAGUACUUUUUGACGUGAACAGAUUUCUGAUAAUUUUCACAUCAUACUGCUGAACUGGAUGCCUCCAGAAUUUGGAAACGCUUAGGUUCCCAGCAGCUUUAUCAGGCCUGUAAGGAAGGCCACCUCCUAAAAGUUUAUCACAGUAAUCUAACUUUGGAAGAAGAUCAAGAUGCAUCAUGACCUGCAACCAGGUUAUGCAUACUGGAGAAGACAUCAGAUAAAGGACU